rnacentral:sRNA from 1 species
GCCGCGCCUAGCCUUUGGCCGGGCGAACCUGGGAACACUCGCAACCCAGUGGCGCGGCUCCUUUAUUGCGGG